AGCGAACGCUGGCGGCAGGCCUAACACACGCAAGUCGAACGAAGUCUUCGGACUUAGUGGCGGACGGGUGAGUAACACGUGGGAACGUGCCUUUAGGUUCGGAAUAACUCAGGGAAACUUGUGCUAAUACCGAAUGUGCCCUUCGGGGGAAAGAUUUAUCGCCUUUAGAGCGGCCCGCGUCUGAUUAGCUAGUUGGUGAGGUAAAGGCUCACCAAGGCGACGAUCAGUAGCUGGUCUGAGAGGAUGAUCAGCCACAUUGGGACUGAGACACGGCCCAAACUCCUACGGGAGGCAGCAGUGGGGAAUCUUGCGCAAUGGGCGAAAGCCUGACGCAGCCAUGCCGCGUGAAUGAUGAAGGUCUUAGGAUUGUAAAAUUCUUUCACCGGGGACGAUAAUGACGGUACCCGGAGGAGAAGCCCCGGCUAACUUCGUGCCAGCCGCCGCCGUAAGAC
rnacentral:rRNA from 1 species